rnacentral:rRNA from 1 species
GAUCAUGGCUCAGGACGAACACUGGCGGCGUGCUUAACACAUGCAAGUCGAACGCUGAAGCUCAGCUUUUGUUGGGUUGGAUGAGUGGCGAACGGGUGAGUAACACGUGAGUAACCUGCCCUCUUCUUUGGGAUAACGCCCGGAAACGGGUGCUAAUACUGGAUAUUCACUGGCCUUCGCGAUGGGGGUUUGGGUGGAAAGGUUUAGUUUCUGGUGGGGAGUGGGCUCGCGGCCUAUCAGCUUGUUGGUGGGGUG